UUUCAAAAGUUUUUCAGAAAAAAAAUUCAAGAAAAAUUAUGAAUCUCAACAUGAUGUCUAGUUUUGCCAGCUCAAUUCAAGACAAAUAUCUACCAGACUGCCGGAAAAGCUUACUUGCAGUACAGGAAAGAUUCCGAACAGAUAAAUGUAAACAAAGCUUGGAAAAUAUUACUUUUCAAAACAAAGUGGCACUAAGAAGAAGUUUAAAG